rnacentral:rRNA from 2 species
AAUCCAUAGGUUAAUGAGGCGAACCGGGGGAACUGAAACAUCUAAGUACCCCGAGGAAAAGAAAUCAACCGAGAUUCCCCCAGUAGCGGCGAGCGAACGGGGAGGAGCCCAGAGCCUGAAUCAGCAUGUGUGUUAGUGGAAGCGUCUGGAAAGGCGCGCGAUACAGGGUGACAGCCCCGUACACAAAAGCGCAUGUGCUGUGAGCUCGAUGAGUAGGGCGGGACACGUGGUAUCCUGUCUGAAUAUGGGGGGACCAUCCUCCAAGGCUAAAUACUCCUGACUGACCGAUAGUGAACCAGUACCGUGAGGGAAAGGCGAAAAGAACCCCGGCGAGGGGAGUGAAAAAGAACCUGAAACCGUGUACGUACAAGCAGUGGGAGCCCCACCACCAAAGCAUUUGCUGUACCGCGUUGACGGAGCGAAGCGACGUCAAACCGAUAAAACAGCAGUGUAAAGUGAGCCGCAGGGCGCUUUGCGCGACAGCGCAAA